GCAGAACGCGAAGAACCUUACCAGGGCUUGAAUGCAUUAUGACAGGGGUGGAGACACCUUUUCCUUCGGGCAUUUUGCAAGGUGCUGCAUGGUUGUCGUCAGCUCGUGCCGUGAGGUGUCAGGUUAAGUCCUAUAACGAGCGCAACCCCUACCGUUAGUUGCCAGCGGGUCAUGCCGGGGACUCUAGCGGGACUGCCGGUGCAAACCGUGAGGAAGGUGGGGAUGACGUCAAAUCAUCACGGCCCUUACGUCCUGGGCCACACACGUGCUACAAUGGCCGGUACAGAGAGCGGCCACGCCGCAAGGCGGAGCGAAUCUACAAAACCGGUCACAGUUCGGAUCGGGGUCUGCAACCCGACCCGUGAAGCUGGAAUCGCUAGUAAUCGGAUAUCAGCCAUGAUCCGGUGAAUACGUUCCCGGGUCUUGUACACACCG
rnacentral:rRNA from 1 species